UUAAAUUGAAGAGUUUGAUCAUGGCUCAGAUUGAACGCUGGCGGCAGGCCUAACACAUGCAAGUCGAACGGUAACAGGAAACAGCUUGCUGUUUCGCUGACGAGUGGCGGACGGGUGAGUAAUGUCUGGGAAACUGCCUGAUGGAGGGGGAUAACUACUGGAAACGGUAGCUAAUACCGCAUAACGUCGCAAGACCAAAGAGGGGGACCUUCGGGCCUCUUGCCAUCGGAUGUGCCCAGAUGGGAUUAGCUAGUAGGUGGGGUAACGGCUCACCUA
rnacentral:rRNA from 1 species